CUCCAACUCAAUGUGAGUGCAGUAUAAAUUCCCACCUAUUCUCUCAUAGGCGUGGAUACCAAAGCACUCUCAGCAAAGUUCAGAAACUUCAUCUCUGCUGUGUUUCUGGCACGGAGAACAUCAAAUGGGAGACCAUUCAAUGAAGCUGUGGAGUCUUUGCCAACGGGGUUCGAAGUCGAAGGCCACUAUUGUAGAACUCGUCAAUCAUUACUUGAAAUCGAAAGAACGCGCUGUGUAUAAGUGCCCUGAUCACUCCCCGUGUAUUAUAGCAACACGCGGGCAGGGGUCAUGCACGAAUAUCACCUAAAGCCGUUCGUCUGUAUUACGCUUCAGGAGGCCAGGAAAUUUGUUCUUAGCCUGCUGAAAGGAAUACAAGAUGAGAAGACUGAUAAUUGUGUAGAUACAUGUAACACCUCAAUCAAGAUAGUUCUAAAAAUGUCAAGAUGCUUCAAAGGAGUUGAUCCAUUUAUCUCUAAUACAUGAUUGAAGAUAUGUCAACAAGGCGAUCCAAGUACCGGAGACACUUGCGUAGACAUAUGCUGCUUAGUUUCCAUAUGCUUAUUGCGGAGCACAAUGAGCUUUCUAAUAGAGUAAAAUAAACCUUCUUUCUUGUCAAGAAGGCAUCUUCCC